rnacentral:piRNA from 1 species
UAACUCUAGCCUCACCAUGAUUUCCCAAU